rnacentral:SRP_RNA from 1 species
GCUGGGCAUGGUGGCUCACGCCUGUAAUCCCAGCACUUUGGGAGGCUGAGGUGGGUGGAUCACCUGAGGUCAGGAGUUCGAGACCAGCCUGGCCAAUAUGGUGAAACCCCAUCUCUA